AGUGAACGCUGGCGGUAGGCCUAACACAUGCAAGUCGAACGGCAGCACAGUAAGAGCUUGCUCUUACGGGUGGCGAGUGGCGGACGGGUGAGGAAUACAUCGGAAUCUACUUUUUCGUGGGGGAUAACGUAGGGAAACUUACGCUAAUACCGCAUACGACCUACGGGUGAAAGCAGGGGAUCUUCGUACCUUUCGCGAUUGAAUGAGCCGAUGUCGGAUUAGCUAGUUGGCGGGGUAAAGGCCCACCAAGGCGACGAUCCGUAGCUGGUCUGAGAGGAUGAUCAGCCACACUGGAACUGAGACACGGUCCAGACUCCUACGGGAGGCAGCAGUGGGGAAUAUUGGACAAUGGGCGCAAGCCUGAUCCAGCCAUACCGCGUGGGUGAAGAAGGCCUUCGGGUUGUAAAGCCCUUUUGUUGGGAAAGAAAAGCAGCAGGUUAAUACCCCGCUGUUCUGACGGUACCCAAAGAAUAAGCACCGGCUAACUUCGUG
rnacentral:rRNA from 1 species